rnacentral:lncRNA from 10 species
AUUUCCAUGUGGCACAGGCAUGAGCUGGGAUCUGGCUGGCCUGACAAGGGACUCAGUGUAGCUGGUGAACCAGAAAUAAUGAUGGUGGAUCAAAAAGUCUGGGAGGCGGAGGUUGCAGUGAGCCAAGAUCAUGCUACUGCACUCCAGCCUGAGUGACAGAGCCAGACACAGUCUCAGAACAAACAAACAAACAAACAAACAAAAAACAGGUCUGUAUUGGUACCAGCAAGCCACACCAGGAUCAUGAACUGCCAGCUGUAUGGACUGCUGGGCAAUUGGAGAUGGUUGGCAGGUAAGAUGUGCCUUUCACUUUUCACCAUGAUUGUGAGGCCUCCGCAGCCACGUGGAACUCAUCAAACAUGGAGAGCCCGUGUUGAGAUGGUGGAACUACAAGAUGAAAGCAGCCUGAAUCUCUGGUUCAACUGAUAGCAGAGAGCCUAUGCCAACCCAUGUCUGUUUUUUUCAUGUGCAAAAUAAAUAAAUAUUUAUUGUUAUAAGCCAUUCAGAUUUCAAAUUUUCUCUGUUUCAUCAGCUAGGAGGAACUACAUGACUGAUCCCCAGCUACCAUUUCUGUUGUUAGGUUUAUUUAAAUAUUUUAAUUAUAAAAAUAAUAUUACAAAGAUUCUUUCUCAAAAAAAUCUAACAAUACAGAUAAACCACAUUCCACAGUGUUUCUUCAAAAUUCAACACUUUUAAACACAUAACCAUGAUUAACAGUCUGAUGUUUAAGCUGAUCCUACUUGUUUUAACCUAUAUAAAUGUGUUUAAUAAACAUAUAUUAUGAUUUUAUGUGUGUAUAUAUAUAAAUAUAAAUAUUUAAAGUAUACAAUAUGGCCAGGUGCAGUGGCUCAUGCCUGUAAUCCCAGCACUUUGGGAGCCCGAGGUGGAGGGGUCACGAGGUCAGGAGUUCGAGACCAGCCUGGCCAACAUGGUGAAGCCCUGUGUCUACUAAAACUACAAAAAUUAGCUGGGCGUGGUGGUGUGCGCCUGUAGUCCCAGCUACUCAGGAGGCUGAGGCAGGAGAAUUGCUUGAACCCGGGAAGUGGAGGUUGCAGUGAGCUGAGAUGGGGCCACUGCACCUCAGCCUGGGUGACAGAGCAAGACUCUGUCUCAAAAAUAAAAUAAAAUAAAAUAAAAUAAAACAAAUAAAUAAAGUAUACAAUGUGACAUUUUGAUAAACAUGUAUAAUAAAAUGAUUCCUGUAGUCAAGCAAAUUAAUGUAUUCUGCCUCACGUAUUUACCAUUUUGUGUGUGAUAAGAGCACUAAAAAUCUACUCUUGCGAAAUUUCCAUUAUACGAUAAAAUAUUAUUGACUAUAGUCAUCAUCCUGUACAUUACAUCUCUAGAUUUAUUCAUCCCACAUAACUGCAACUUUGUACUGUUUAACCUACAUUUCCCCAGUCCUCUCAUUGCAAUAUUUUAAAACACACAAUGAGAAGUGAUGUACCUAUUCUUCUCCCAUUUGCCUUUAAUAAGUAUUAUAAAUUAACUAAUAGUAAAUGACAUAAAUAUAAAUUUUUGAUUUAAUUAAUAAACUAACCUUUUGACUAAUGAAUGAAUGAAUGAAUGAAUGAUUUUUCCAUAACAAGGUCAUACAGAUUUACUUUUGUAUUACUAUUGGGAUUCCAAUAUGUGUGCCAUGAUUUAACCAUUUUUCCACUGAUGAACACAUAAUUGUUUCCCAAUUUAUAUUGUAAUAAAUGGAACUAAAUAAACAUUUU